UAUAUUUGCCGCUUGAUAGAAAAACUAUCUGUACAUAAUAAUCAUUGAAAUAAUAUUGGAAUG
ncrna:unclassified sequences S15-Flavobacteria ribosomal protein leader